rnacentral:lncRNA from 1 species
GGCGGCACCCACUGAGGACUACCUGUUUUUACAGUAGUUCUCACGCCCUGUUGUUACCCCCUGUUUUUGCAGAGCCAUCGUCGUCGGCUGCUGCUGUCGCAGAUCAGGAUCGAGGCAAGGGCGUCGCGAGUUAGAGCCCUACCAGACAUGCAGAGCUAGAGGUGCCCCUAGUGCAGGUAGAUGUUUUGUUUUGAGUUCAUGUACAUAGUAUACUUAACUCGCCAGUGCGAGUAGCUCUGUAUUUUUGGUUAUUGGACUAUGUAUAUGGAACUUCGUUUGUUUAACUUCUGUUUACUCUAGUAGCUCUAUACUACUGUUUGUAGUAUUGUACGGUUUAUAGGUACAGCUGUCGCUUCGUAUACAGGAGAAAUUCCUUUCUAUACGGCGAAUUUGUCGGCGUGCCCGGGGAACGUGUAAUCCGGGGCAUGACAGGCCGCGCAUGACCUUGCUAGUACUGUACAGCUAUGGGUCCAUAUUCAAACAUAACAAGAUUACUAUCAGUAGUAAUUCGUUGAUUCUAUUCUUCUCCGCUAUCUGGCUGUGCGCCCGCGGCUCUCGCGUUCAGAACCAAACUACUAAGGUUUGCUAAUCUACCCUACUUCAAGCCUAGCCACGCGGCGACUCGCCUGAGUCCAAUCAAUGCUGCGGAUCAGCCACUUCGCCAACUGUCCGGCCUCAAGGGGAAGACUCCGGUCUACUCUACAGCUCAUCCGCCUCAGUCACCCCCCCCUGCCUUCAUCCACAAACAUCUGCAACGGGUCGCCCCAGAGCUGCGUAAAUACACCGGUCAGGGAUCUUUUCCGGUGGAGGGAUUUCAUGCCACAUACCUCAACGGAGCCCCAGCUGAAAACCGGAUCAGGGAAGGUGAACAUACCACACUCAACCCUAGCGAAGCACGAUUCUGCCGGCGGGAAGGGGAACCUGCCGCACUCGACCCGCGGCCUCGAAUCAGCCUUAAGCUCAUCCUCGAAGUUCAUCCAGUGGGAGGGGAACAUUGCCAACUACCCCCACGGCUUUAGAACUAUCGAGUUUACAAUCCUAAGAUUUCGGAAUCGACUUUCCAAGUCUCUAGGGUAAUCUCAAACCCUAUGAUAUCGACCUAUCUAGGUCCAAUGCACUUUCUAUCCUAGGUCUACCCGACUCUAGGUUUAACACCCUUAUCACAUAACCAAUAUUCUUUAAACUAGGUUAAUACCUCUCUACCUAGAUUUUUAUUAACUCUAGGUUCAACAACACUAGGAUCAAUGUCAACCUAUGUUCAUGACACUAGGUUAAUGCCACUCGAUCUAGCCUAGGUUCACGACACUAGGUUCAACAUCAAUCUUAUUCAUCCUAGGUUCUCAAUCCUAGGUUCAUAUUCGACCUAUGUUAUUACACUAGGUUCGGUGCCACUCGAUCUAGUUGUCCCUAAUUGUCCACAGCGAGUUUCUAUAAUUACAUAACCUCAUGCACAUGCUCACAUUGCUAAUAUGCAUUUUGUCUAUCAACAUGCAAUCAAGUAUCUUACUUAGCAUCUCUACAUUAUGUCAUCAUCUAGUAUAUAGUUCCGAUGCAUUAAUAUGCAAUCACUACUAGCAUGCAUUACAUAAUGCUAACAUGUAUAUACAUUUAACAAUUUCUCAUUAUGUCAUGUUAGAUCUACAACAUGUUAUCAUUUACUUGCUCUAUUAUGAAUCGACAUGAAACUAGCACUUGCAUAUAAUUCCAAUGCAUCAACAUGCCAUUAGCAACUAGCAUAAUUAACUAUCAUCUAGUACAUGCAUCUUAACCAACAUGCUCACAUAAUGUUACAUGCACCUAGCAUAUAUUCCAUGAUGCCCUUAGCACACUUCUAACCAUGCAUAUGUAUAUCAACAUGCACAUUCUAUUUAUAUGCUUUAACUCAUAUACAAUACCAUUAUACUUGUACAUAUGCAUCAACAUGAAUUUCAUGUUUACUUUGACAUGAAGGCGACUUAGUCGCUUCGGUAAGCACAAUCCACCUCAAAAUGCUUUCCGAUUGCUUGUCGACACUUGCAAUCGGCCGCCCGCGGCACCCGGCAUCCAGUUUGGCCCGAUCUCUCGCGCGACCACCCAAACGGUCUCCAAUCCGUUUUCAUGAGUUUACGAUGUCGCCUCGGCCCUCCAGGCGGAAAUGAAGCCUAAACGUCCGUUUCUUUAAUAACUUCGCACCGGCUCGACGAAUCGCCGAACCGACUUCCCCGGCGCGUUCGUUUACCUAGCAAUUAGGUUUAUAUAGGUUCAAUUUAGAUCAAACCAUCAUAUUUCCAAAAAUUGUAUUUUGAACCCUAGGUUUACUACUAGGUAAAAACCCACAUUAGAGCCUUGGUUUCAAGCAUCAAACCUCUAAUUAGCAUGCUAGAAUACCUCUAAACCCAUUCUUAGAGCUUAAAAACCAAACUAGAGAGAAGUGCCAUUAAAGGGUUUUGAAGCUUACCUUCAAAGCUUGCUCUCCAAUGGCUAAAGAGGAAGAUGAAGAAGAUGACUUUCCUCCAAGCUUCCUUCUCCACCAAAACCCUCUCUUUUGGGAGAGAAUUUAGAGAGAGAUAAGGGAGGGUUCUCUUUCUCCUCUCCUUGUGUGUGUGCGUGUGUGGCGUGCGGGUGUGUGGGGGCUGCACGGCUGAGGGUGGAAGAAGAGCAAUGCUCUUUUACAAUAUAGCCCCUCAACAAUUACACUAUUCACUCCAGGCAGUUUAGCAGUUCGGAACAGUUGGAGCCCUUCUGAAUGCCCGUUUGAGCUCAAAUUUGACAGACAGGCUCGAUUUAACGUACUGAGUAAGAAUAUAUCUUAAGUUUUCAGUUUUGAUCCCGUUUGGUCACUGAAAAUUGUACCGAACUGUAAUCUUUAUCAGAUAACUAUCGGAUUUUAUUUCUCACUCUACGGGUGUCAGAAAAAUAUGAAACCUUAAAUCUAGCCUCAUAAAAAUAUUUCUGACUUAUCCUCCAAUUUUCAUAAUUUUUUGAGACUGUGCAUUUUCUGCUAAUUUAUCGGUUCCGUUUCCAACAGAAAAUUCUAAAUCUUCUNUGUUUCGGGCAGAGGCCUCACCGUGAGCACCCGCGAUGGGUUGGCUCAUACGUCGCAUAGAGACAGUUCGAGUUUGUCUGAGACUUUUCGGUUUCAGUUCAUUAGCUGAGAUUGACCAGAUUGUUGGUUAUCAAGUGCACGGGAGCCGUGUUAGACAGCGGUUUUUCUGCUAGGCCCAGGUGGCAGUUGGGACUGCCGUGGGUUGUCAGGCCUUGUUGGACUUGCUGGGACAUUUUUUAGGUGAGCCGUGUGGUCGUGCUCGCAUUUAUAUAAGAUUUGAUAGACUUUAUAGGUGGUGUGGCUAUGACGCUGCUAUGUUAGCUUGGUGCCGAGGAUCUCGAUUUAGUCCGUCAAAUUUGUUCACUGUCCAGGUUUAGCGUCCAAAAUAGGAUUUAGUUUAAGGUUCAGGUUGUACGUAUUUGAUGAGUUAAAUAAUGGUGUACGAGGUGGUGUAUUCACAGUCCCCGGGACGGGUAUGUUUACAGUCCCGAUUGGAUUGGGUCAGUUUUGACAUUUCCUACAGUUGGUUAGCAUAGAGCAGGAUGGUGUAGUGACUAGUAGCUGUAGAGUUCAUUCCAGCAUUUUACUUUUACCAUUGCUCCCUUCUGUAGACUUAGUGGGUGGACCGAUAUUGUUUUGGGCGGCACCCACUGAGGACUACCUGUUUUUACAGUAGUUCUCACACCCUGUUGUUACCCCCUGUUUUUGCAGAGUCAUCGUCGUCGGCUGCUGCUGUCGCAGAUCAGGAUCGAGGCAAGGGCGUCGCGAGUUAGAGCCCUACCAGACGUGCAGAGUUAGAGGUGCCCCUACUGCAGGUAGAUGUUUUGUUUUGAGUUCAUGUACAUAGUAUACUUAACUCGCCAGUGCGAGUAGCUCUGUAUUUUUGGUUAUUGGACUAUAUAUAUGGAACUCCGUUUGUUUAGCUUCUGUUUAC